CAGAGGUCCUUCUCAAGUGAAAAGCCUCUUCUCUCCCUUUGUUUAAAGCUUAUUGGGCAGUUCAUACUUUCAAAUAUGCAUCUCAGGCAAGGCUUCUAUGGAUAUUUGAAGGGAAGGAUUUAAAGAUCAUCUUCAAGAUAAAGUUAUAUCCAAACUACAAAUUCUCAGAAAUCUCAACAGAGAAUUGGAAUUAGUCUUCACCAUGAGAUGAUGCACUUAUUAGAAGGCUGUCGCUGUUUGAUCAAUCACUUUCAGGCCCCAGUCCUACCCACACACGCUGCAACAGAUAGAGAAAAGAAAAGCUUAUGGUUCAUCUGCAUUCAAGCAAGCCACAUGUACUGGUCAAAUUGAAGCUUUCUUUAGGCCUACUUGCAUUAGAGAAUCCAUCAACAACCACACUUGAUGGUCCUCUUUUCCACCAAAGAAAGAAGAAAGAGAAGAAAAAGAAGUGAGUAAUGAACCUUUUUUUUUUUUUUUUUGACAACAACAAUACCUCUGUGGAAACACCGUAGCUGUUUUUUUAAUCUCCUUUCAGUCGUUUUUAUAGAACAAGUUUUCAUAGUGCAAUCGAUCUUUGAAAUCGAAAUCGGAUGAGCCAAAGGUGUAAUAGAAAGUCAACUAAUAAGGAUUUGAUGUAUAUAAUUUUCUAGUUUAUGAGUAAAUAUUUGAAGUAAAUGGUUUAAGCUUGAUGAAGUCAAUAGACUAAUAAUUACUCUUAUCUCCAAAGGAGCAUGAAAAUUAGAGAAAUGGGGGUUCAUGAAUUUGCUUCAGUAGCCAUCAUAAAUUACAAGGAAUCAGAUGUUUGUUUAUCCUGCACAGAUUGAAUAGUAAUCGGUCCAUUCACCAAGGAAGCAUAUGGGAAUAGGGUCUGCAUGCAUGUACACUGUAACACUGCAGCUUUGAAGAUGAUCCAU